rnacentral:rRNA from 1 species
AUUGAACGCUGGCGGCAUGCCUAACACAUGCAAGUCGAACGAGUGGCGGACGGGCGAGUAAUGUCUGGAAAACUGCCUGAUGGAGGGGGAUAACUGCGGUAAACGGUAGCUACUACCGCAUACCAUCAGAUGUGCCCAGAUGGGAGUAGCUAGUUGGUGGGGUAACGGCUCACCAAGGCGACGAUCCCUAGCUGGUCUGAGAGGAUGACCAGCCACACUGGAACUGAGACACGGGCCAGACUCCUACGGGAGGCAGCAGUGGGGAAUAUUGGGCAAUGGGCGCAAGACUGAUGCAGCCAUGCCGCGUGUAUGAAGAAGGCUUUCGGGUCGUAAAGCUCUUUCAGCGGGGAGGCGGUAUCUGAAGAGGAAGCAACGGCUAACUACGUGCCAGCAGCCGCGGUAAUAC